CAGUGUGAGAAAGUGAGAUAAUAAACAUUCAUUUAUUUCUUUAUAAAAGUUGAGUUUGUUUGUAAGAGGUGUUUGUAGAUGAUGGCGACCUCUCCACAGAAGUCUCCCUCCUCUCCCGGUCCGCUGUCUCCCUCUCAGAGGAAGAAAGAUGAAACUUUCCUGGGGAAGCUGGGAGGGACUCUGGUCAGGAGGAAAAAAGCUAAAGAAGUGUCCGAGCUGCAGGAGGAGGGCAUGAAUGCCAUAAACCUGCCUCUAAGUCCCACUCCAUAUGAGCUGCAUCCGGAGGACACCAUGCUGGAAGAGAAUGAGGUUCGAACCAUGGUGGAUCCUAACUCCAAGAACGAUCCCAAACUACAGGAAUUGAUCAAAGUGCUCAUCGAUUGGAUCAAUGACGUGCUGGUUGGUGAGAGGAUCAUUGUAAAAGACUUGGCGGAGGAUCUGUACGACGGACAAGUUCUGCAGAAACUCUUUGAGAAGUUGGAGGGGGAAAAGCUGAACGUAGCAGAAGUAACACAGUCGGAGAUCGCUCAAAAGCAGAAACUGCAGACAGUUCUGGAGCGCAUCAAUGAUGCUCUCAAAGUUUCCACCAGAAACACCAAGUGGAACGUUGACUCUGUUCAUGCUAAGAGUAUGGUGGCAAUCCUGCACCUGCUGGUGGCGCUGUCUCAGCACUUCAGAGCUCCAAUUCGCCUUCCCGAACAUGUCUCCAUACAGGUGGUGGUGGUUCAGAAGCGGGAGGGAAUUCUGCAGUCUCGUCAGAUUCAGGAGGAGAUCACAGGCAACACUGAGGCAUUAUCAGGCAGACAUGAGCGUGACGCAUUUGAUACCUUGUUUGAUCAUGCACCUGACAAACUCAGUGUGGUGAAAAAGACACUCAUCACUUUCGUCAACAAACACUUGAAUAAGCUGAACUUGGAGGUGGCCGAACUGGACACGCAGUUUGCAGACGGUGUGUAUCUGGUGCUGCUGAUGGGACUCCUGGAGAGCUACUUUGUACCACUUUACAAUUUCUUCCUCACUCCUGAAAACUUUGAACAAAAGGUCCAUAACGUUUCAUUCGCCUUUGAGCUGAUGCAGGACGGAGGUCUCGAGAGACCCAAACCAAGACCAGAAGACAUUGUGAAUUGUGACCUGAAGUCGACGCUGCGAGUUCUGUACAACCUCUUUACUCGGUACAGACACGUGGAGUGAACAGAGAACCUCGGCGGAACCUCUGACCAUUUCCAGAAUCAUUUCAGCUAAUCAGCCCUACAGGACUCUAUAAUGGAGUAUUGUGAACUCCAGUGGCCUCUCCGUUCCUUCACCUCACACAAAACUGCUCUGCUGGAGGGGAAAUGGGGAAAUGGUCUGCUCAAAAAUUAAUCCAUAAUGCUAAUUAUUUACUACUUUAGAGGUAUCAAAUCUGCUAACAACGGCUUUACAGCAAAAUACCUGUUAUUAAUUUGUGCUGUUCGAAAACUUUUUCCUUUUAAUUUAUGUUUAUUAAACAUAUUUUCACAUGUAC